rnacentral:rRNA from 2 species
UGCGUAGGGGGUGCAUCUAAUACUGGGAGGCUAGAGUGCAGGAGAGGAAAGCGGAAUUCCUAGUGUAGCGGUGAAAUGCGUAGAUAUUAGGAGGAACACCAGUGGCGAAGGCGGCUUUCUGGACUGUAACUGACACUGAGGCACGAAAGCGUGGGGAGCAAACA